rnacentral:misc_RNA from 1 species
GCAAGCUCCAGUGGGGUGGUGUG